rnacentral:rRNA from 1 species
AAUGAAUGUUGGCGGCAUGGAUUAGGCAUGCAAGUCGCGCGAGAAGUUUUCUUCGGAAAGCGGACAGCGGCAAACGGGGUAGGAAUACGUCGGUAUCUACCCUCGGGACCGGGAUAGCCACGGGAAACUGUGGGUAAUACCGGAUAACAUCUCUGGAUCAAAUGGUGUGAUUCCGCCCGAGGAGGAGCCGACGCGAUACCAGCUAGUUGGUAGGGUAAUGGCCUACCAAGGCUUAGACGUCUAGGGGGUGUGAGAGCAUGGCCCCCACCACUGGGACUGAGACACUGCCCAGACACCUACGGGUGGCUGCAGUCGAGAAUCUUCGGCAAUGGGCGAAAGCCUGACCGAGCGAUGCCGCGUGCGGGAUGACGGCCCUUGGGUUGUAAACCGCUGUCAGAGGGGAUGAAGGGCGUAUGCAGAAUGCGUUUUGACAAAGCCUCAAAGGAAGCCCGGGCUAAGUACGUGCCAGCCGCCGCCGUAACAC